AUGACAAGCAGAAACCAUAAAGAGCCACAGAAAAUUAAAGUACCUACUGUCAUCAAAAUGUGGUUGGAAGGCAUUCACACCACACAGUAUAAUUGACUUGAAUGACAUUACACACCAUUGAUUAGUGGAACUAUAUAUUCAAUGGGGAAUUGUUGAAGUUAUUUAUAUUAUACACCCUUUCUAAUUUAUAUUUACCAGCAGGCAUGGGGGGAAGAAGGAGGAAUGGAAAGAAGGGCCGAGGUAUCAAGAGACACCAUGGAUAUGAACAACGUAAGCCAGCACUACAAAGCGGAUAGUCACUACUACCAAACUGAGACCACUGAAGGCUGAAGGACUGGUACCUGAGAAUACGUGAAAUUCCCACUGAUAUGAGACAGAACUGUGCCUCAAUCCCUGCAGGCAAGAGACUGUAAAAUGACUUGACCUGUGAGUCAUGAAGUUAACAGGGCAAACACAAGGCAUAGAACCAACGUGGCUGGUUCCUCAGUCUGCUGUUACUCAGCAUAUGACACUGCUUGCCUUCACACUGCCUGCCUCUACUUUUGGCUUAAUCGCUAAGAUUUUUUGGUGAGAUUUCUUUUUGUGGACUGCAAUAAAAGAGAUAAAAGAUCAAGCUCCACUUUUCCCUUACACGAUUAUGUUUACAUAUACAUAUUAUAAAGUGGUCUUAAUAGGAAAGGUAUAAAAGAAUGAAUCAGAGAAAAGAGACCCUAGUGUAACAUCUAUUACAUCUUUUACAAGUACUCAGAUUUUACAGGGCUGCCUUUAAUGGAUUUUUACAUACGCACAAAGACAUUUCAACUGUACUAAAAUGAAAGGUGUUAUAUUUUAUUCAAACUUCAGAAUGAGUUUUUACGAUGACUUUGUAUUUUUUAUUAGCUAAAUGGAUACGUAUUCAAUAAUGUUACAGUUUAAUUCUUAAAA